rnacentral:lncRNA from 1 species
AAAUUUUAAAAUCAUACAAGACUAACAAAGGCCAGAGGCUCCUGACUUGGGACAGGCGCAAAAUUGCGGCGGGGUUAAACAUGUUUAUGAGAUCUCAACCCUCCCCCUAUACCUCUAGCCAAUGUAGAAAAGUAAAACAAUAACAAUACGCACAUUAAAAUUCAGUUCAAGAGAAGUCCGAAAACAUUGUAAUAUAUACACUGACAUACAAGUAGAAAAUAUCUGACGAUUUUGGUGUUUAAGGUGUAUGAGGAAACAAAUAUAAUUUAGCAAAAAAAAAAAGCGGUGUAGGUCUUCAUGUAGGUCUUGACUAAUUAGACACGCCCUCACAAAAUCAGCGGAUCCAUAAUAGGAUAGGAAAAAAAGAGCCAUCGAAAUACCAUAAUUCCAAUUUGGGGAAAAGGGGGGGGGGCUAAUAGCUUAACUCAAGAUUUUGAUCUUAUUCAACUUUAUUCUAGUACGGCAUACGUUUUACCGCUAGCAAACUCUUUAUCAUAAUAAUGUAUCAAUGAUUUACUUCAGAUCCCCUUUCGCCUCGUCGUAAAUAUGCGUGAUAUAUUUGCCACUGGAGCACGGAAGCAAACAAUAUAUCAGUUUCAUAUAGUGAUGCAUAAUGAUUAGUUCUCAACUGAUAAUUGUCUCAAACAGUUUUUCAGUUUUGGUAUUAUGUUUUUAUUUAUAUUUUAUUUUUAAACGAAAAUUUUAGACUUUCUUUCUGCAUUUUUUUCUUUCAAUUCAUUUGUUUGAAUAAUCAAUAAUAAAAUA